rnacentral:SRP_RNA from 1 species
GCCGGGAGCAGUGGCACGUGCCUGUAGUCCUAGCUAUUCGGGAGGCUGAGGUGGGAGGAUUGCUUGAGCCCAGGAGUUCUGGGCUAUAGCGCACUAUGCCAAUUGGGUGUUUGCACUAAGUUCGGCAUCAAUAUGGUGACAUCUUGGGAGCAGGGGACCUCAAGGUUCCCUAAGGAGGGGUGAACCAGCCCAGGUCAGAGACAGAGCAGGUCAAAACUCCCAUGCUGAUCAGUAGUGGGACUGCAGCUGUGAGUAGCCACUGCACUCCAGCCUAGGCAACAUGGCAAGACCUCAUCUCU